CUGGAACUGAUCCAGAACACAGCAGCCCGCCUGGUUUUCAACCUCAUGUCACAUACGGACUACGUUCAGGACAUAUUUUUUAUUUCUAUGCCUGAGAUAUGUGGUUGUCCCACCUGGAUAUUUUAAGAUUAAUGCUGUCAGUCUCUCUGGAUAAGAGCGUCUGCUAAAUGACUCAAAUGUAAAGGUCACUUGUUCAAGGGGGCAGCAGGGUAGCCUAGUGGUUAGAGUGUAGAGGUGGCAGGGUAGCCUAGUGGUUAGAGUGUAGAGGUGGCAGGGUAGCCUAGUGGUUAGAGUGUAGAGGGGGCAGGGUAGCCUAGUGGUUAGAGUGUAGAGGCGGCAGGGUAGCCUAGUGGUUAGAGUGUAGAGGCGGCAGGGUAGCCUAGUGGUUAGAGUGUAGAGGGGGCAGGGUAGCCUAGUGGUUAGAGUGUAGAGGGGGCAGGGUAGCCUAGUGGUUAGAGUGUAGAGGCGGCAGGGUAGCCUAGUGGUUAGAGUGUAGAGGC
ensembl:lncRNA